UCUCCUGUAGCUCAGCGGUAGAGCGUCCGACCGGUGUACGGCCGGAUGAAAAGGUUCGACUCCUGUUGGGAGAA